ensembl:lncRNA
UGUGCGUAUAAUAAUUUACUUGAAAAGAGACACGUCCAUUGUUUAACUGCAUCAUCUACACAAACCAUUGUGCUUGGACCCCUUAUGAUCACCUGGACUUAAACCACAUUGUUUCAGUUACCUUCUGUACAGUUACAGUGGUCUAUAAUAAAUAUUAACAGGUUUUGUUCAAGCUGCUUAAAAUGUUUGAAGUAGGCUCAUUUUUUUAAAUGUAAAUCCUAAAAAAAAAACAAAAAAAAAAAAAAAAAAUAAAACUGGGAAACAGCCAUAUUUACGAAAAGGUGCUUAACCUAUAGAAAAAUAAAACUAUGAAUUAAAUUAGUGUUUAAUUUUUAGUAAUGACCAUUUUUGUUGUCAUAAAAACCUUCUUCUUUACAAUACAGAAUAACGAUUGUCAAUAGUAAAUAUUAUGAAAACAAUAACUGUUGUAUUUUUCAUCAUUAUAUAGUUUAUGUAUUAUAAUUGUAAAAACAAAACAAAU